CCCGCACAAGCGGAGGAACAUGUGGUUUAAUUCGAUGAUACGCGAGGAACCUUACCUGGGCUUAAAUGGGGAGUGACAGCUGUCGAAAGAUAGUUUUCUUCGGACACUCUUCAAGGUGCUGCAUGGUUGUCGUCAGCUCGUGCCGUGAGGUGUCGGGUUAAGUCCCAUAACGAGCGCAACCCUUACCGUUAGUUACCAUCAGGUUAAGCUGGGGACUCUAGCGGGACUGCCACCGUAAGGUGAGAGGAAGGUGGGGAUGACGUCAAAUCAGCACGGCCCUUAUGUCCAGGGCUACACACGUGUUACAAUGGCCGGUACAAAGGGCAGCUACUUCGCGAGAAGAUGCUAAUCUCGAAAGCCGGUCUCAGUUCGGAUCGAAGUCUGCAACCCGACUUCGUGAAGCUGGAUUCGCUAGUAAUCGCGCAUCAGCCAUGGCGCGGUGAAUACGUUCCCGGGCCUU
rnacentral:rRNA from 1 species